CCCUUAGAUGUUCUGGGCCGCACGCGCGCUACACUGACGAAUGCAACGAGCUUAUAACCUUGGCCGAAAGGUCUGGGUAAUCUCCAAAUUUCGUCGUGAUGGGGAUAGAUUAUUGCAAUUAUUAAUCUUCAACGAGGAAUGCCUAGUAAGCGCAAGUCAUCAGCUUGCGUUGAUUACGUCCCUGCCCUUUGUACACACCGCCCGUCGCACCUACCGAUUGAAUGGUCCGGUGAAUCUUUAGGACUGUGGCUGAGGCCUUGCCUUGUGCGGGUCUGGCCGUGGGAAUUUAGUUAAACCUUACCAUUUAGAGGAAGGUGAANUCGUANCA
rnacentral:rRNA from 1 species